UACUACUACAACAUCCGCGCAUCAUCUAAUCAUUAUUAUCCGAAGACACGUCGGAGGCGCAGAGUGCACGCAGGUGUGCCACGACCCUUGGGCUCAAAACGACAUUUACAUCUAUUGUAGACUUUGUUUAAUAAAAUGCUAACCUCCGUUAGGUACGGUUAACAGUUGUCAUUAAGUAACCGAUAAAUAACCGACCCACCGGCAACCACUAAAUGCGAUAUUACUGCCUUAGGUUCGAGGUUUAUCGCGUCAUAGUGAUAAUGUUAAUCAUUUUAUUAAAUUUGAAACGAUGACAUAAUAAUUUAUUUGCAUGAAAAAAUAUCUGAUAAUUUUGCUUUACGGUUAUCCGUAUGCGUCGAUAUGGUUAUUUUAAUAAUGUUUUUCUGAAACACGACUACCUAUAUGUAGCUAUAGGUAGUAAACUGCAGUCUGAUGACAUUUAAUAAAUUAAUAUUUCGCCUAUUUUGCCGUCUUUUUUUUUUUUUU